rnacentral:rRNA from 1 species
AGGGUUUGAUCCUGGCUCAGAUUGAACGUUGGCGGCAGGCCUUAUACAUGCAAGUCGAACGGUAACAGCAGAGCUUGCUCUGGCUGACGAGUGGCGGACGGGUGAGUAACGCGUAGGAAUCUACCCAGUAGCGGGGGAUAGCCCGGGGAAACCCGGAAUAAUACCGCAUACGCCCUACGGGGCAAAGGGGGCCUCUUCUUGAAAGCUCUCACUAUUGGAGGAGCCUGCGUUGGAUUAGCUAGUUGGUGAGGUAAUGGCUCACCAAGGCUACGAUCCAUAGCUGGUCUGAGAGGACGAUCAGCCACACUGGAACUGAGACACGGUCCAGACUUCUACGGAAGGCAGCAGUCGGGAAUAUUGUCCAAUGGGGGAAACCCUGAGACAGCCAUGCCGCGUGUGUGAAGAAGGCCUUAGGGUUGUAAAGCACUUUCAGUAGGGAGGAAUUAGCGCGAUUAAUACUCGCGUCAAGUGACGUUACCUACACAAGAAGAUCCGGCUAACUCCGUGCCAGCAGCCGCGGUAAUACGGAGGGAUCGAACGUUAAUCGGAAUUACUGGGCGUAAAGCGCGCGUAGGCGGUCUGUUAAGUGGGAUGUGAAAGCCCCGGGCUUAACCUGGGAAUUGCAUUCCAAACUAAUAGACUAGAGUACGAUAGAGGG